rnacentral:rRNA from 1 species
UACGGGGGGGCAAGCGUUGUUCGGAAUUAUUGGGCGUAAAGGGCGCGUAGGCGGUUUGACAAGUCUGAUGUGAAAUCUAUGGGCUCAACCCAUAGCCUGCAUUAGAAACUGUCGGGCUUGAGUAUGGGAGAGGUGAGUGGAAUUUCCGGUGUAGCGGUGAAAUGCGUAGAUAUCGGAAGGAACACCUGUGGCGAAAGCGGCUCACUGGACCAUAACUGACGCUGAGGCGCGAAAGCUAGGGAGCAACAGGG